rnacentral:rRNA from 1 species
AAAACUGACGCUGAGGCACGAAAGCUAGGGGAGCAAACAGGAUUAGAUACCCUGGUAGUCCUAGCUGUAAACGAUGGGUACUAGGUGUAGGGGUUUCGAUACCUCUGUGCCGCAGUUAACGCAGUAAGUACCCCGCCUGGGGAGUACGUGCGCAAGCAUGAAACUCAAAGGAAUUGACGGGGGCCCGCACAAGCGGUGGAGCAUGUGGUUUAACUCGAAGCAACGCGAAGAACCUUACCAGGGCUUGACAUCCCCUGACUGCCAUGGAAACAUGGCUUCCCUUCGGGGCAGGGAGACAGGUGGUGCAUGGUUGUCGUCAGCUCGUGUCGUGAGAUGUUGGGUUAAGUCCCGCAACAAGCGCAACCCCUAUCUUUAGUUGCCAUCAUUAAGUUGGGCACUCUAGAGAGACUGCCGGCAAAAAGUCGGGGGAAGGUGGGGAUGACGUCAAAUCAUCAUGCCCCUUAUGUCCUGGGCUACACACGUGCUACAAUGGCCUGUACAGAGGGCAGCGAAGGAGUGAUCCGGAGCGAAUCUCAGAAAACAGGUCUCAGUUCGGAUUGCAGGCUGCAACUCGCCUGCACGAAGUCGGAAUCGCUAGUAAUCGCAGGUCAGCAUACUGCGGUGAAUACGUUCCCGGGCAUUGUACACACCGCCCGUCACACCACGAAAGUUUGCAACACCCGAAGCCGGUGGCCUAACCGUAAGGAGGGAGCCGUCGAAGGUGGGGCAGAUGAUUGGGGUGAAGUCGUAACAAGGUAACCGUA